GGCGGGGAUAACUGGGGAUUUAACCCGGAAGCACUUUACCGCUGAGCUACAUCUCAAGCACUUUUAAAUUUUAAAUCUGAGACAGGAUCUUGCUAAGUUGCUAAGGCUUUGCUAAAUUGCUGAGGCCGACCUUGAACUUGCAAUUCUCUUGCCUCAGCCUCCCAAGUCGCUAGGAUGACAGGUAUGUUUUGAAAUAUUUUCUUGUGUAUUUGUCUGUCUCUGUAAGAGCUGGGAUGGCACACAGAAGGUGCUGAAUACAUAUUUGCUCAGUGAUGGAAUUGGUUUGGAGCCCUGGAAUACCCUGGGGAGAAGGCAGGACCUAGAGCACCCUGGGGUUCUUUUCCUCUGCUGCACCUUGUCGGCCUCCGCUCCGUGGACUCCGCACAGCCUGGAGCUGGGCAGGUGGGGGAGAAGGUGUUAGGCAGCGAGCAGAAUGACAGACCACCACACUUACGAAGCCAAAUCGAAAGGGGAAAAGUCCUUUAAUGAGUGUGCCAGGCAAGCGGUUGGGAGCGGGCUAGCGCCUUCCAGAACUCCCAGCUCCCGAAUUUUGAAAGUAUAGAGUUUAUAAAGGCAAAACCCACAAAAACCACAAAGACAGUUGAGCCAGAUGUAGGUCAGAAAAGACCUUGUUGAGACAUAUUUUGGUAACAUGAGAGAAUUGUUUUGAUUAUCCAUUUCAGAGUCAUUUCUGUUGUACAUCAGGGCCUUAGUCAGGG
rnacentral:lncRNA from 1 species